AGUGAACGCUGGCGGUAGGCCUAACACAUGCAAGUCGAACGGCAGCACAGUAAGAGCUUGCUCUUACGGGUGGCGAGUGGCGGACGGGUGAGGAAUACAUCGGAAUCUACUUUUUCGUGGGGGAUAACGUAGGGAAACUUACGCUAAUACCGCAUACGACCUACGGGUGAAAGCAGGGGAUCUUCGGACCUUGCGCGAUUGAAUGAGCCGAUGUCGGAUUAGCUAGUUGGCGGGGUAAGGGCCCACCAAGGCGACGAUCCGUAGCUGGUCUGAGAGGAUGAUCAGCCACACUGGAACUGAGACACGGUCCAGACUCCUACGGGAGGCAGCAGUGGGGAAUAUUGGACAAUGGGCGCAAGACUGAUCCAGCCAUACCGCGUGGGUGAAGAAGGCCUUCGGGUUGUAAAGCCCUUUUGUUGGGAAAGAAAAGCAGCAGGUUAAUACCCCGCUGUUCUGACGGUACCCAAAGAAUAAGCACCGGCUAACUUCGUG
rnacentral:rRNA from 1 species